rnacentral:rRNA from 1 species
GACGUAGGGGCCGAGCGUUGUCCGGAGUUAUUGGGCGUAAAGCGCGCGCAGGCGGCCUCGCGCGCGACGUGAAAGCCCCCGGCUUAACCGGGGAGGGUCGUUGGGGACGGCGGGGCUUGAGGGCGGGAGAGGGUGGUGGAAUUCCCGGUGUAGUGGUGAAAUGCGUAGAGAUCGGGAGGAACACCGGCGGCGAAGGCGGCCAACUGGACGAUUACUGACGCUGAGACACGAAAGCGUGGGGAGCAAACAGG